UUCACUGUCACACACAUGCAUUUAUGAGCGUUUGCCAUUCACCAAGCCCAGGCAAAAGGAUUCGCGAAUCAGCAACAUUCCCUGCUUUCACUGAGCUUGCCAUCUGAAAGACUGAAACUUCAAAAUGUUAUUAUAAUACGUGUUAACAUUUAAAUUUUAAAAUUGCACAUUUAUAAAACGCUUGUUUUUUAAAGUAAUUAUCUGUAGGCAGACUUCACUUGUGUAGAGAUCAAUUAAUUCAUAGCACAGCUGUCUAGAUUUUUCAAACAUAGGCAAUUCCACACCUAAUCCUUAAGAUAAUCAGUGAUUUGCUAGGAUUAAAACCCCUUCACUCCCUAGACCACGUACUUGACCCCAGAGGCAACCUGAUGGUGCAGGAAGAGUGUUAAAGACUAAACAUCACUGAUAGCAUCCAAACAUUUCCAUCAACCUACCGAUCAGAAAUAUGUGCUAAGCGCAGUGCAAUGUGUUCGUCUGCCUACCCCCAAACCCUUCGCUCCUACCUCCCAUACCCCCAACCAACCUCCCUCCCCCUCUCUGGAUUUGGCUCAUUUUGGCAAAGAACAUCUUAGGACCCUCCACCCCACCCCCCACCUCCUACCCACUUUCCCUCCCACCCUCAAUUUGGCUUAUCUCGGCAAAGAACAUCUUAGGAGGCCUCCCUCCCUUCCUCCCCUCUUUCUUUCUUUCAAAGGCGGAUAGGGAGAAGUUCAUCUCCCUAUUCGAGAAAAAUUACCUCCACUAAAUCUCACCCUUGGCUCACCUCUUGGUUCUCAGAUCAGGCAAAAGGUCACCGCGUGCAAGACCCUCGUCGGAGGCGAGCACGCUCCAUAGCUGGGGCCGCUCCGCCCUCGCAGCCGGCUUUGGCUCAGGCGGAGCUCGGAGAGGCGAGGGGCUCGUGCGGCAGCUGAUCCUGGCUCCUGGAGAGCUGACCUUCCCUGCCCAGUAACGUGCGGCUGCCGGAGCCUCAGCUGCAGCCGCUCUGCCGGCGCCGCAGCGCACUCUCGCGCUCCUGCUCCACGCGCCCGCGCUUCAGCCCGAGGCUCGUAGCAGCUGCUGGGUGAUCCAGCGGAAAUGACAAGCCGCGCUUCCCGGUGACNNNNNNNNNNNNNNNNNNNNNNNNNNNNNNNNNNNNNNNNNNNNNNNNCGGGGAAGCAGCGCCCUGAGAAGAUUCUCGCCGCGGCGGCUCAGCCUCGGCGCCGGCUCUUCACUUCUUGUCACCCGGGCGUUCCGCGCCCUUGACCUGGGAAAGAUGGUUAUAAUAGUAACAAAGCUGGUGCACUGCUUUCAUCUCAGGUAAGGAGAGCGGCUUUGCGUGCUUUUCUCUGUUCUGUGCAUGUGGUGGCUCCGAAGCCCACACUGGGAAAGGUCUUUUACCUGCUGAAGUUUGUUUUUUAACGAAGACUAAGAAAAAAGAGAUU
rnacentral:lncRNA from 1 species